ensembl:lncRNA
CAGAAAUGAAGGAAAACGCUGCUAUGAACAUGCCAAAGCAGCAGGUGGCGCUAGAUUCCUAACUGUGCAGAAAUGUUGGCCAAUCAGAAGUCUAGAAGCCUCGGUGGGAAAAAGUAAACAAAGCUGGGGCAUAGAAGCAGAACCGAGUCGUAUGUGUGGAGGGACAGUAACUGUGUGUAUAUGUAAGCAUUUAAACACUGCAGAGAGUAGAAUUAACAGUAACAGUAUUGUAGAAAUUCAUUUCACCGAAACAAUAACGUGGCGCACAGUGUGACGCAUGCACCAGUUUAUUGUAUUUCCAGACUUGCUUUCGGCACAAUUUACAGUGCACGCUACUCUAUUUUUUGUCAGACUUGAAAUAGCCGAAAUACCUUCACACUACGGAACUUCUAUGGCUCUUCCGUUCAACAAUCUCUCCGGCGUUGGAACCAUCAUCUGUUUUCUCUUCGGUCACGCUCGGUUGAUUUUUCUAGUCGGCACACUCAUUUCCUCCAUUACGCGCUGGCUCCAUUACCCGCUGGCUGCUUCCCAAACAAACACACGUGCGGCUUGGCAAUUGUGCUGUACGUAACAAGUCACGCGACGUGACGCUGCGGCUGUGAUUGGUUCGGCUCUGCGCUACUUAAUUUGGAUUGGCUGACCUUUUUUUUUUUUUUUUUUUUUUAAGAGGACAAGAGCGGCGAAGUCUAUCGCGAUAGUUAAAUUUCUCUAUCGAGUAAAAGUUAUAUCGCGAUACAUAUCGUUAUCGUUCUAUCGCCCAGCUCUACGUAUCCCGUUACGUUUCUCAAUGAGAGUAACGUAUUCUGAAAACUCUGGAUUACUUAAUAUAUUAUCAUGCUUUUUACAACUACAUGAAUGUGCUAUUGCUGUGUGAUUUAUUACUAUUACUGAAGGUCCGCGGCUCCGAACCGUAGUAAAGGGACCUCUGGCUAAUAUGUCGGGCUCCCUGUCGGCUCAUAGCCGAAAAAUAGCUUUACUUCGUUGUCUGGGUCAACUUUUCUUGCGAGAGACAGAGAGAGGCGUUGAAAGGCUGCUCCAACGGAACUUAUUGUUUCGGAGGAAAACACGAACACAGCGUACAGUCGAGUCUUAAUAGCUUACUUACAACUGGGCUGGUCAGGCACUCUUCAUGGCUGCAGUGGUUAUUAUUAUAUUUACAUGCUUCCAGCUCCCGUUUCUGCUGGAUGAC